UACAGAGGUCCCGAGCGUUGUUCGGAUUUACUGGGCUUAAAGGGUGCGUAGGUGGGCAAGUAAGUCAGUGGUGAAAUCUCCGGGCUUAACCCGGAAACUGCCAUUGAUACUAUUUGUCUUGAAUACUGUGGAGGUCAGCGGAAUAUGUCAUGUAGCGGUGAAAUGCUUAGAUAUGACAUAGAACACCAAUUGCGAAGGCAGCUGGCUACACAAAUAUUGACACUGAGGCACGAAAGCGUGGGGAUCAAACAGG
rnacentral:rRNA from 1 species